rnacentral:rRNA from 1 species
UACGGGGGGGGCAAGCGUUGUUCGGAAUUACUGGGCGUAAAGGGCUCGUAGGUGGCCAACUAAGUCAGACGUGAAAUCCCUCGGCUUAACCGGGGAACUGCGUCUGAUACUGGAUGGCUUGAGUUUGGGAGAGGGACGCGGAAUUCCAGGUGUAGCGGUGAAAUGCGUAGAGAUCGGGAGGAAGGCCGGUGGCGAAGGCGGCGCUCUGGAACAUUUCUGACGCUGAGGCGCGAAAGCGUGGGGAGCAAACAGG